CCCUUAGAUGUUCUGGGCUGCACGCGUGCUACACUGAUAUUGCCAAUAUGUCAUUCUUAUCCGAAAUGGAUUGGGUAAUCAAGUAAUGAAAUUUCAUGCUUGGAAUCGGUAAUUGCAAUUUUAUCGUGAACGAGGAAUUCCUAGUAAGCACUAGUCAUCAGCUAAUGUUGAUUAUGUCCCUGCCCUUUGUACACACCGCCCGUCGCUACUACUGAUUGGGUGCUCAAGUGAGAUGCUUAGACCCUUGUUGCAUGGUUCAUUAUUGUGCUCCGAAAGGAAAAAGUUUCAAGCUUGAGUGUCUAGAGGAAGUAAAAGUCGUAACA
rnacentral:rRNA from 1 species